rnacentral:rRNA from 1 species
AACGUAGGAGACGAACGUUAUCCGGAGUUACUGGGCGUAAAGGGCGUGUAGGCGGUUUGUUAAGUCUGGCGUGAAAGCUCUCGGCUAAACCGGGAGAGGUCGUUGGAUACUGGCGAACUAGAGGAUGGUAGAGGCGUGUGGAAUUCCGGGUGUAGUGGUGAAAUGCGUAGAGAUCCAGAGGAACACCAGUGGCGAAGGCGACACGCUGGGCCAUACCUGACGCUAAAGCGCGACAGCAUGGGGAGCAAACGGG